UACGAGGGAUGCAAGCGUUAUCCGGAAUUAUUGGGCGUAAAGCGUCCGCAGGUGGCUCUGUAAGUCUGUCGUUAAAGAAUGGGGCUCAACCCCAUACAGGCGGUGGAAACUACAAGGCUAGAGUUUGGUAAGGGUCACGGGAAUUCCUAGUGUAGCGGUGAAAUGCGUAGAUAUUAGGAGGAACACCAGCGGCUAAAGUGCGUUAGUGGGCCAGUACUGACACUCAUGGACGAAUGCUAGGGGAGCGAAAGUG
rnacentral:rRNA from 1 species